GGAAGAUAGUGAUCAAAGCCAAGGAGAAAGAUCCCUGAAGGAGCCAGUCCCGCCACGCCCUGGCCAUGGAAUUCUGCCUCCCAGACCGUGAGCAAUACUGUUUGUUGUGUAAGUCGCACAGGCUUUGGUGCUUCAGCAGCAUCACUAGGGGACUAAGACACUGUCAUGUCUUCCACCACACUGGCUACAGCCUGUGCACCUUUCCUGGAGCCAAUGGUUGAAAGGUACUACACAGCAGGGCUGGGAGCGAGCCCGGAGCCUCUCCCCAGAUGCCCAGCCACGAAGCCGACAGAGACCCACAGCUGAAGGUCUCCCCAGAGCAGCACAUGCUCACCCACAUUCUGUCACCUUGGCCAGUUCCUCCCUGGGUUUGGGAGUCCAGCCUGUGCAUUCCUUCUUCGCACAGUGUAGGUCCCUGAGGGUAAGAGGACCACACUUUCUUACUUCCAUCCUUCAGCAGGCAUUUGGUGCAGUGUGGCAGUGCGCAGACCCGGGACUGUCCUAAAGCCAACUCACACUCUCCGUGUGUCAGGCAGAAGGAAUCCUUACAGUGACCUGCUUUGAGGUUGCAAAGUGGGGGCACCAUGGCAUGAACUGACACACUUCUUCAGCUACUGGCAGAGUUCCAACCUCAGAUUUGGGCGACCUGUGUAUUCGUCAGUUCUGAAGAUGGAAGCUAAUGUCUGGAGAGAGCUGAAGUAACCUGGAGAGGAUGUGCAGUGUGGGCAGGGAGGAAGUCUGCAGCCUGAAUCCACAGAUAGUGUCACCUCUGGGCUGUGCAGAAGAAAGAAACAACAGGAGAGAAGGAGGAGCAGUGGUAACAACUGUGGAGUUUCACAUGCCGAGCAAAAGAGUUUCAUGAAGGAAAGUCAGAAUGGGAAAAUGACCCAUGAAGGGGAUUGCGAGAAAGAAGGAGUUGUGAAAUCCUCAGGUCAUUGGUUACCUUGGAGGGAGUGUUCAC
rnacentral:lncRNA from 1 species